rnacentral:rRNA from 1 species
CGGACGGGUGAGUAACACGUGGGUAACCUGCCCAAGAGACUGGGAUAACACCUGGAAACAGAUGCUAAUACCGGAUAACAACACUAGACGCAUGUCUAGAGUUUGAAAGAUGGUUCUGCUAUCACUCUUGGAUGGACCUGCGGUGCAUUAGCUAGUUGGUAAGGUAACGGCUUACCAAGGCAAUGAUGCAUAGCCGAGUUGAGAGACUGAUCGGCCACAUUGGGACUGAGACACGGCCCAAACUCCUACGGGAGGCAGCAGUAGGGAAUCUUCCACAAUGGACGAAAGUCUGAUGGAGCAACGCCGCGUGAGUGAAGAAGGGUUUCGGCUCGUAAAGCUCUGUUGGUAGUGAAGAAAGAUAGAGGUAGUAACUGGCCUUUAUUUGACGGUAAUUACUUAGAAAGUCACGGCUAACUACGUGCCAGCAGCCGCGGUAAUACGUAGGUGGCAAGCGUUGUCCGGAUUUAUUGGGCGUAAAGCGAGUGCAGGCGGUUCAAUAAGUCUGAUGUGAAAGCCUUCGGCUCAACCGGAGAAUUGCAUCAGAAACUGUUGAACUUGAGUGCAGAAGAGGAGAGUGGAACUCCAUGUGUAGCGGUGGAAUGCGUAGAUAUAUGGAAGAACACCAGUGGCGAAGGCGGCUCUCUGGUCUGCAACUGACGCUGAGGCUCGAAAGCAUGGGUAGCGAACAGGAUUUAGAUACCCUGGUAGUCCCAUGCCGUAAACGAUGAGUGCUAAAGUGUUGGGGAGGUUUCCCGCCUCUCAGUGCUGCAGCUAACGCAUUAAGCA